UCUUGGGUGGUAUAAACAGUUAACAUAUUCAGCUCUUAACUGAAAAGUUGGUGGUUCAAGUCCACCCAGAA
rnacentral:tRNA from 1 species